UGGGGAAUCUUCCGCAAUGGACGAAAGUCUGACGGAGCAACGCCGCGUGAGUGGUGACGGCCUUCGGGUUGUAAAGCUCUGUGAUCGGGGACGAAUGGCUGGUAUGCUAAUACCAUAUCAGAGUGACGGUACCCGAAUAGCAAGCCACGGCUAACUACGUGCCAGCAGCCGCGGUAAUACGUAGGUGGCAAGCGUUGUCCGGAAUUAUUGGGCGUAAAGCGCGCGCAGGCGGCUUCUUAAGUCCAUCUUAAAAGUGCGGGGCUUAACCCCGUGAUGGGAUGGAAACUGGGAGGCUGGAGUAUCGGAGAGNAAAGUGGAAUUCCUAGUGUAGCGGUGAAAUGCGUAGAGAUUAGGAAGAACACCGGUGGCGAAGGCGACUUUCUGGACGACAACUGACGCUGAGGCGCGAAAGCGUGGGGAGCAAACA
rnacentral:rRNA from 1 species